UUUCUUUCAUUCCAAGUUCAUUCCAGAUAACGAGCAGUUCACGGCGCACUGGUGCAUUCAACCGAGAAUUCGUUUGAAGUCUGCUCUUGUUUUAUGUAUCACAUUCUCCGGACUCUCGAAACAGAAUAAAUCAGGUAUCACGAAGAUAAAAAUACACGCUCGCAAUCAGACAUCGAAGAAGAGAAACAAAAUAAAAGACACGUCAAGAUCAUGAGAGCGAUCGAACAGAACAGAGCUUCCUGAACUGAACGUUUCGUAACAACCGUGUUUCUAUGGCUAUGAACAGUAGCCAGAAAUCGAGCGAUGGGGUGCGGGAAUCCCAUACAUAUAUACCUAUAUAUAUUACUCCCUUUUGCGCGCGCGCGCGCUAUUGCAGGCAUCCGGGGCGGUGCGGUGGCUGAAAAAGGGGGACACGACGUACGUCCGCCGCGUAUUUCCGCACACACACUCACCGGUAAAAUAUCCGGUCGGCGUUAAAGUGAAAGUCGAGCAGCAACUCCUUGAAGCGGUUCCACGUGACGAUGGAUGACGUCCCACUCCGUUCGUCGUCGGCUAUAGCUGCUGCUGCUGUCAUCGGCCGAUGAUGAGCAUCGUCGCCGCGCGCCUCCAUUUCGGCGAUGCUCGCUGCCGCGUCCAAUUGUUGACUGGCGCUCCGGCGGUCGCUCUUUGUGUUGCCGACUGUGACUGACUGACUAACUCACUCCCGAGCGAGCUGGUGCCACUCACAGUAGCGCCGAAUCCAUCGGAGUCGGGAUAUGCCGUCCACGUGCAUCACACAGGUACAUCGAUGAGCAUCGUGACAGCGAUAUCUCCGCCGGCGUGCUGUGACUGUGACUAACGAUGUACCUGUUCGCUGAUAUCUUUUAUUUACAUAUAUAUAUUAUUUUAAAUUUAUCACUUGUAAUAUAUAUAUGUAUAUGACAAUCCUAGCGAAAUACUCUGCUUCGAUUAUCCAAAAGUUGUGUAAUGCAAUCUUGCCGUGUCCGUCCACACUGCUAUAAUUAUUGCAGCAAUAUACAUUCUUUGCUGACUCUCGGAAUCUAUAUCGAUCUCUAUAGGGAAGGAGGUUUACGUAAUUGCUGAGAGAGACGUCCGAUCUCUGAACGAUCUCUCGUUUUUUCAGUCGUCGGGUCAUGAAUGUAUAUUUAAACAUAGGUUCUGAAACAGACAAAAGAUUUUGAUUCAGUUCCAGUGACAAACAUCGUGGGGUUUACUUCGUGGUUACCAUCAUUUGUAUACAAAAGCAUACGUACACAUGCAUCGCAUCGUUGCACAUGAUCAAGCACAAACUCUAAUACAUACAAAUGCAUAUCAUAUAUGUAUAUAUGCAACUAUGCCCUCACUCAACAGCUGUCAGACUCUAAAACUGAUGUCUAGUUCUCUCUAUUGUCAUUAUCGCUAAUAGCUGUUUCACACAUCCGCACAGUGGUUCAUUUCAUGCGUAAGCGUAAUAAGAUCUGAAUUUUGUGCUUCAUACGUUGAUUGAUCGAGGAACAUUAUUUACGAGAUCUAUAACAAAAAUUAUACAUCUAUAUUGCUAUAAAAACGAUGCUGAACGUCUCUGCCGAAAAUCUCAGUAAAAUUGUAUAAUGAACAAUGUGUAAUAGUAUAUGUUCGAUAUAAAUGCAAACCGAAUAAAUUUAAAUACAUGUGUACCGAAUGUUGUUGUUUCUGAAUAUACAGAUAUAAUUAGAGAAGAUCUCUAAGUACACGUGCACUGAAUGAAAGUGAGCAGAGGAGUGAGUAUGUUAAUCAGAAUCUUGGCACGAGGAAGCACAUGCAAAACAAAAUACAAAUUCUUAUUGUUCUAAGAAUAUAUAAUACAAUAAAGCAAAUAUUUACUAUA